rnacentral:snoRNA from 25 species
AUUGAAUGAUGAGAAACCAAAAAUUCAGUUCUGCUUCUGAACCAAAAUAAUCUGAAGAUAACUAAUUUACCAAGCUUACUAAUUCUGAUUC